GUAGGUGGCAAGCGUUGUCCGGAAUUAUUGGGCGUAAAGCGCGCGCAGGCGGUUCUUUAAGUCUGAUGUGAAAGCCCACGGGCUCAACCGUGGAGGGUCAUUGGAAACUGGGGAACUUGAGUACAGAAGAGGAAAGCGGAGUUCCACGUGUAGCGGUGAAAUGCGUAGAGAUGUGGAGGAACACCAGUGGCGAAGGCGGCUUUCUGGUCUGUAACUGACGCUGAGGCGCGAAAGCGUGGGGAGCAAACAGGAUUAGAUACCCUGGUAGUCCACGCCGUAAACGAUGAGUGCUAAGUGUUAGGGGGUUUCCGCCCCUUAGUGCUGCAGCUAACGCAUUAAGCACUCCGCCUGGGGAGUACGGCCGCAAAGGCUG
rnacentral:rRNA from 1 species